rnacentral:rRNA from 1 species
CGCGUAGGAAAAUGCCUUUAGGUGGGGGACAACAGUUGGAAACGACUGCUAAUACCGCAUACGCUCUACGGAGGAAAGGGGGCUUCGGCUCUCGCUAUUGGAUGUGCCUGCGUGAGAUUAGCUAGUUGGUGGGGUAAAGGCCUACCAAGGCAACGAUCUCUAGCUGGUCUGAGAGGAUGAUCAGCCACACUGGGACUGAGACACGGCCCAGACUCCUACGGGAGGCAGCAGUGGGGAAUAUUGGACAAUGGGCGCAAGCCUGAUCCAGCCAUGCCGCGUGUGUGAAGAAGGCUUUCGGGU